rfam:Populus trichocarpa scaffold_3_contig_261, whole genome shotgun sequence.
AAGAUAAGAGCCCGUCUCGUUAGCCAAGGACACUUGCUGGGAACCUCUUGUGGAUUCUAGCUAUAAAUCACCUGCUUCUCGCUACUUCAAUGGAUUGACCUUGUCGCUGCCAGCUGGGAUCAUUCUCUCCUUUUCUUUUGAGCACCACAUAAAUGCUCGUGUUCAUGAAUCCGAGGGAGGCUACAGGCAAGUCAUCCUUGGCUACCAAACAAGACUCUUUAUCU